AUUGAACGCUGGCGGCAUGCCUUACACAUGCAAGUCGAACGGCAGCACGGGUGCUUGCACCUGGUGGCGAGUGGCGAACGGGUGAGUAAUAUAUCGGAACGUGCCCGAUCGUGGGGGAUAACGCAGCGAAAGCUGCGCUAAUACCGCAUACGAUCUGAGGAUGAAAGCGGGGGACCGUAAGGCCUCGCGCGAUCGGAGCGGCCGAUGUCAGAUUAGGUAGUUGGUGGGGUAAAGGCCCACCAAGCCGACGAUCUGUAGCUGGUCUGAGAGGACGACCAGCCACACUGGGACUGAGACACGGCCCAGACUCCUACGGGAGGCAGCAGUGGGGAAUUUUGGACAAUGGGCGAAAGCCUGAUCCAGCAAUGCCGCGUGCAGGAAGAAGGCCUUCGGGUUGUAAACUGCUUUUGUACGGAGCGAAAAGGUCCUUUCUAAUACAAGGGGCUCAUGACGGUACCGUAAGAAUAAGCACCGGCUAACUACGUGCCAGCCGCCGCAGUAA
rnacentral:rRNA from 1 species